rnacentral:rRNA from 1 species
AUUGAACGCUGGCGGCAGGCCUAACACAUGCAAGUCGAGCGAGCGGCGGACGGGUGAGUAAUGUAUGGGGACUGCCCGAUAGAGGGGGAUAACUACUGUAAACGGUAGCUAAUACCGCAUACUAUCGGAUAACCCAUAUGGGAUUCGCUAGUAGGUGAGGUAAUGGCUCACCUAGGCGACGAUCCCUAGCUGGUCUGAGAGGCUGGUCAUGCACACUGGGACUGAGACACGGCCCAGACUCCUACGGGGGCAGGAGUGGGGAAUAUUGCACCAUGGCAGCAAGCCCGAGGCAGCCAUGCCGCGUGUAUGAAGAAGGCCCUAGGGUUGUAAAGUAAUUUCAGUCGGGAGGCGUUACCGACAGAAGAAGCACCGGCUAACUCCGUGCCAGCCGCCGCGGUAAUUC